GACAAGUGCCCCCAGUCCAUAUCUUGGUGGUAGUGGAAAAUAUUCAAAUGAGAACUUUGAAGACUUAAGUGGGGAAAUGUUCCAUGUGAACAACAUUUGGACAUGGGUUAGUCAAUCCUAAGAGAUUGGGAAGCCCUAUAUCAAGGAUGCACUAUGAAUGAACAUCGAAAGGAAAUCAGGUUAAUAUUCCCAAACCGGGACAUGGAAGUGGAUGACAAUGUUAGGAAAUUUGGAGAUGUUGUCAGGGGCCCCUGGAAGAGUUGUAUUUUAUUUUUAAUGGAUUUCCCACCUUGAAAUCAGUUCAACCAGAGAUAGGGUCCAACAGCUGGAAGAGCAUUGUAUGUAUUGUGGUGUCCGGUUCCCCCUUGGUGGCUAUUAAAAAUCUAGAGGACCAAGUAUCGUCCAUGCCCAUUCAUACUCAUAACUGCAUCAGGUCUCCAAGGUGAACAACUUAUGGUCAAUAGAACAAUGUAGGUAAUGGAAGUUGGUAAAAUAGAUCCGUAAAUUUAGGAAAAGGAUUGGCUUUAAGGGAUGAGAAUAGGGGUUUGUGUCUUCAACCCGUGGGCAUUCGUUAGUUUUCCUAAGCUACUCUCACAGUGAGGGUGGGCUAUUGCGUGUCGAUUGGGCUACGUACAUAGAAUGUCCACUCAUGGGGGAUUUUUUGUAGGUAGAAAAAUGUCAACUUAGAACUAGUACAGAGAAGGGGAAUACGAUGGUUUAAUUAAAAAAAAUCAUUGUGAUGGUCCUACAGAUGCUGACGCAAUGUUAUUUCUUCUCAGUUCUCUGAAUGUCAAAGUGAAUAAAUUCAACCAAGCAUGGGUAAACAAUGAAAUUAACUAUGACUCUAUUAAGGUAGUCAAAUUCCUAGUCAUCUAAUUACUGAUGCACAAUAAUGCAUUAAUGAGAUUCACACUUUCCUUAUCUACUAUCUAGAAAAACCACAAACAAGGGAACGAUCUUGGCAGA
rnacentral:ncRNA from 1 species